CCGAGUUAAGGUCUCUAUGGCCUGACCUCCAACCCCUUGCAUACCAGUAUUGUAUUGUUGCUUCGGUGGGCUGAAAAUGCCUGCCGAUGCCAUACCAAAAAAUCCUUAGUUAAACAUGUUGUCUGAGUUUAUAUAAUAAUCAUUA
rnacentral:misc_RNA from 1 species